rnacentral:rRNA from 1 species
UAUAAGCUAUUAAGGGCUAAUGGUGGAUGCCUUGACUGUAAGAGGCGAUGAAAGACGUAUUAGGCUGCGAUAAGCCUCGGGGAGCUGCCAAAGAGCUUUGAUCCGGGGAUUUCUGAAUGGGGCAACCCAAUAUAAUGAGAAUUAUAUUACCCUACGGGGAGCGAACCUGGUGAAGUGAAACAUCUCAGUAGCCAGAGGAAGAGAAAUCAAUUGAGAUUCCGUCAGUAGCGGCGAGCGAACGCGGAUUAGGACAAACCCAAUGCUUGCAUUGGGGGUUGUAGGACUAUAAUGUGUAGUUAAAGAGAAUAGAUGAAUUAGUUGGAAAGCUAGAGCAUAGAAGGUGAUACUCCUGUAAUUAAAAUUCUCAAUAACGCUAAUAGUAUCCUGAGUAGGUCGGAACACGUGAUAUUUUGACUGAAGCUGGGGGGACCACCCUCCAAUCCUAAAUACUACUUACAGAUCGAUAGUGAACAAGUACCGUGAGGGAAAGGUGAAAAGUACUGCAGCGAGCAGAGUGAAAUAGAACCUGAAACCAUUAGCUUACAAUCAUUCAGAGCCCUAUGAUUUAUCAGGGUGAUGGACUGCCUUUUGCAUAAUGAGCCUGCGAGUUGUGGUGUCUGGCAAGGUUAAGCCAAGUGCGAAGCCGUAGCGAAAGCGAGUCUUAAUAGGGCGACAUAGUCAGAUGCUGCAGACCCGAAACGAAGUGAUCUAUCCAUGAGCAGGUUGAAGCUGGUGUAAGAGCCAGUGGAGGACCGAACCCGCUGACGUUGAAAAGUCUUGGGAUGACUUGUGGAUAGGGGUGAAAGGCCAAUCAAACUUCGUGAUAGCUGGUUCUCUCCGAAAUAUAUUUAGGUAUAGCCUUGUGUUGUAGCAUAUAGGGGUAGAGCACUGAAUGGGCUAGGGCUGCUUACCGCGGUACCAAACCCUAUCAAACUAUGAAUACUAUAUGUGGAAUCACAGGAGUCAGGCGGUGGGUGAUAAAAUCCGUCGUCAAGAGGGGAACAACCCAGACUAACAGCUAAGGUCCCUAAGUUACAUCUAAGUGGAAAACGAUGUGGAGUUACUGUGACAACCAGGAGGUUGGCUUAGAAGCAGCCAUCCUUUAAAGAAAGCGUAACAGCUCACUGGUCUAGUGAUUCUGCGCGGAAAAUAUAACGGGGCUAAGAUGUACACCGAAGCUUUAGAUUCAAUUUUUAAUUGAGUGGUAGGAGAGCGUUCUAUUCAGCGUUGAAGGUAUACCGGUAAGGAGUGCUGGAGCGGAUAGAAGUGAGCAUGCAGGCAUGAGUAGCGUUAAAACAGGUGAGAAUCCUGUUCGCCGAAAACCCAAGGUUUCCUACGCGAUGCUCGUCAUCGUAGGGUUAGUCGGGUCCUAAGUCGAGUCCGAAAGGGGUAGACGAUGGCAAAUUGGUUAAUAUUCCAAUACCAACAUAUAAGCGCGAUGUGGGGACGCAUAGAGUUAAUCGAGGUCACGGAUGGAAGUGUGGCUCGAAGGAUGUAGGUUGUUAAGUAGGCAAAUCCGCUUAACGUUAGACCGAGAUCUUACAGGCUCUUGACACUCUUCGGAGGAGAUGGAGAAUCGAUGAUACUGUCGUGCCAAGAAAAGCCACUAAGUAUAUUAUAUGUUGCCCGUACCGUAAACCGACACAGGUGGGUGGGAUGAGUAUUCUAAGGCGCGUGGAAGAACCCUCUUUAAGGAACUCUGCAAACUAGCACCGUAUCUUCGGUAUAAGGUGUGCCUACUUUGGUAUAUGGACUUGCUCCAAAAAGCUAAAGAGGUUGCAACAAAGAGUCCCUCCCGACUGUUUACCAAAAACACAGCACUUUGCUAACACGUAAGUGGAUGUAUAAGGUGUGACGCCUGCCCGGUGCUCGAAGGUUAAUUGAUGAUGUCAGCGCAAGCGAAGCAUUUGAUCGAAGCCCGAGUAAACGGCGGCCGUAACUAUAACGGUCCUAAGGUAGCGAAAUUCCUUGUCAGUUAAAUACUGACCUGCAUGAAUGGCGUAACGAGAUGGGAGCUGUCUCAAAGAGGGAUCCAGUGAAAUUGUAGUGGAGGUGAAAAUUCCUCCUACCCGCGGAAAGACGGAAAGACCCCGUGCACCUUUACUACAGCUUGACACUGUAGCUUGGAUAUUCAUGUGCAGGAUAGGUGGGAGGCUAUGAUGACUAGACGCCAGUAGAGUCGGAGCCAUCCUUGAGAUACCACCCUUGAAUAUUUGAGUUACUAACUGCGAUGAGUUAACCUCAUUCAGGACAAUGUCUGGUGGGUAGUUUGACUGGGGCGGUCGCCUCCUAAAUAGUAACGGAGGCUUACAAAGGUUAGUUCAGAUGGGUUGGAAAUCCAUCGUUGAGUAUAAUGGCAUAAACUAGCUUGACUGUGAGACCAACAAGUCGAACAGAGACGAAAGUCGGUCAUAGUGAUCCGGUGGUUCUGCGUGGAAGGGCCAUCGCUCAAAGGAUAAAAGGUACGCCGGGGAUAACAGGCUGAUCUCCCCCAAGAGCUCACAUCGACGGGGAGGUUUGGCACCUCGAUGUCGGCUCAUCGCAUCCUGGGGCUGUAGUCGGUCCCAAGGGUAUGGCUGUUCGCCAUUUAAAGCGGUACGCGAGCUGGGUUCAGAACGUCGUGAGACAGUUCGGUCCCUAUCUUCCGUGGGCGUAGGAAAGUUGAAGAGAUUUGUCCCUAGUACGAGAGGACCGGGAUGAACCAACCACUGGUGUACCAAUUGUUCUGCCAAGAGCAUCGUUGGGUAGCCACGUUGGGAUGUGAUAAGAGCUGAAAGCAUCUAAGCUCGAAGCCAACUCUAAGAUGAACUUUCCCUGAAGUUCCCAGCAAGACUAGCUGGUUGAUAGGCUGGAUGUGUAAUGGGUGUAAGCCCUUUAGCUGACCAGUACUAAUAGAACGUUUGGCUUAUUUUAA